GCCCACUUCGUUACAGAUGGCCUGGACUAGCAUUUUCUUGCCCGUACCCCUGGGGCCUGCCAGAAGGAUGGACUUGGUGAGGGGGGCUUGUUCGUGGACCGCCUGGGAUCCUGCAGGAAGAAAAAUCACAGCAUUGGUUUCAGCCAAUGAAAUUCCAAGAUUUUCAUCAGUGUGCUGUUGCAGUUGUUGUUCCAUCAAUUGCUAUUUACCCAAAGGAUUCUAUAGAUUAUACUUCCGAUUUACAAGCAAUUCAACGUGCCACGUGGUAAUAUUAAUGACGGCCAUUAUAUAUUCAUAAUUGAGUACUACUAUUCAGGAAGGGAGAAAAUGCAACAGACCAGACUGGGAUUCGAACCCAGGCCCCCUGAAUCUCUAGUCAGGUGCUCUACCAACUGAGCUAUAUGGCCACCGGCGAUCGAACCCGGCUGACCGCUACAUUCCUCCCUCCUUAAAUGUCUUCACACUGAAGACAUCAACCCAGGAUCUUUAUCCCCUGGCAGGCAUUUUCACCUAUCAGUUCCAGGGGCUGGUCUACGGCACCAAAUGUAACAGGAAUGGAGAAAAUGCAACGGAUCAGACUGGGAUUCAAACCCGGGCCCCCUGAAUCUCUAGUCAGGUGCUCUACCAACUGAGCUAUCUGGCCACCAGCGAUCGAACCCGGCUGACCGCUACAAUUGUAUAUGUCUUCACACAGCUUGACACUGUGCAAUAAAGAACCAAUAAUUGCAACAUGCAAUAUGAUAUAAAUAAAUUCUGGCCUGUCACUUAGAACAAGGAGGCAGGGAUAAGGUGCUUGACUAAAUGAGAAGACUUUACUUUUGAGAUAAGAGCUCUUCUGUGUAGGAGGUGCAUUUAGUGGAACUUUGAAUACCAAAGAGGGACAGAAUGGACCCAUAGUCAAUGAAAAAGAGGAUAAACUGUAUUAAAAGCGGCUUCUCUUUAAAUAUUUAUGUGUAGGAAAUACAAAAUACCAUAAAAAAAAAAUAGUUUACUAAAGUGGAAACAUAAAAACAAUGUCAUAUUUGCAAUUAAUUUCCUGGAUAUUGUACAUACGAGCAACAUAAUAACAUGAAAUAAUAGGUAUUCCAUGCAUGUAUUUAAUUAUACUCCCUGAAUACUUAUCAUUUAUUUAGUUUGUGUAUCAUUCAAAUUUGGGUCAUGAAACUACAUAUGAAAAACUUACUGAGCAGAUUCACUUGAGCAAUGAUGAAAUUUUUUGUGUAUAACAUUUAAAAUGCGUCCCCCGAUAUGAGCCCGACAGGUGGUAUAAUAGUUAACAAAAAUGUAGUCCAAUACCAUAUAUUACAAUAAUAUUUAGUUUAACUAUAUAACAACAGAUAUUACUCCACAAAAAAUGCAGGCUAGCUGGGUCCCUUUACAAAUGAUAUGUUAAUGGAUUCUGUACUCUUGGAAUCUCAAACCUUAAAUGUCAACAAAUUGUGAGUCAGACAUAUGUCUGACAUUUUAAAUGUUAUACAGCUAAAGACUAGAAAGACACAAGUUUCAACAUUAUUUAUGUGGCAAGUUACAGUUUACAAUAGCUGCAGACUCCUUUGAACUUGAUUUUUCUGGUGUAAAAAGGAUGAAAUGCAAAUCUGAGCAUCACGUAUAGCUCUUUGGUGACCAUCUUAAUUCUACACUUAACGAGGUGAAAACAAUCAAUUAUAUUAUCCUGAAAUAACAGAGGAAUGAGAAGACACACAGACUGACAUGGAAAAACCAAUAGACUCCCAAAAGUUGUAAAUUUUGUGGGAGAGGAUACUGGCAGACUGUACAUAAAGUAUAGAAAUAUCAGAAACAAGAUGAUCGAGUUUGUUUACAUGUAAGACAAUUCCUCCAGUGUUUACAAAGAAACAAAUAAAAGGUCUUGUCAUAGGGAACCUGAAUACAAAAUAUGGAUGCCCUUCUUUGUACCUUAAUCAGUUACAAAAAUACUGUCUAGAUUGCCCAUGCACCAUUAUUUGUUCACUGCUGCUAAAUUACUGAAUCAGAUGUUGUAUGUGUUAGCUGCACGAGUAAUGCAAGUAAGUAAAGAAGCAGGCACAGUUUCUACAGUCACCUGGCCCACAAAAUAGAUGAUUUCAAGAGGAGUCCCAAAAUCUGGUAUUCAAAUAAGGAUUAUAUUAAUGCAAACCAAAACUACAUUUAAUUUGAUCCAAAAUUGUUUCUUGUUGUACGACAGGAGUGUGACGUUUGCAUAAAAUUGCCAAAGAUACCAAAAUCAAUGUAAAAUUCAUAAAUUCAGGGUUUUUUCCUUCAUUCAGAAAACAAUAUACAUCCAAUGAGUCAAGCAAAUAUACCAAUACUAUACAUUUUUUAUCUUCUAUUAAUAAACAUUAUAUAUUAAUUUCAUUUUGCUCGACAGAUGGGCAUACCUCUUCCUAAGCAAUAAUUUUGAUGAAAUUUAUUAGUUUUUAAGCUCUUUUUGAAAAUUAGGCAAAAAAAAGUCUUAUUCAUGAUGUAAUUAAUAAUGCUAUCAAAUAAGCAAUAAUUUUGAUUCAAGUUGAGAUAUAUAGUAUAUUUGGCAUAAAUUUAACAUACUUAAAUCACAGAUCAAGCUUAAUUCAAGACAUAUUUAAAACUGCAGUCAAUUUCUUUGGGUCUUUUUAUGUAUACAAUCAUAUACCCUGUUCUUUAACAUAUAAUUUUGAGUGUUGAAUUUUUAAUAUUUUGUUUUGUUUUUUAGAAUGGCUGAGAAUUUGACAAAUGACAAUAAAGGACUCAGCUACAUUGGGAGUCAGCCUGAUGGUGGGAGUCCACAGAAUUCCAGCAUUAAUACCAAUAUGGUUACUAAUACAGCCUCUAUGAUAGCGCUAGCACCGGAAUAUUUGAUUGUACUGUUGGUGGCAUAUGUAAUCAUUUUCAAGAACACCAUCAAAAAGAUUUGGCAAUGAUGAGCAGAACUAGACAUCUUAUUUUACCCAAGGAUAGUGUGAGAUGUCAUGGAGUACACUAACGAAAGAGCUGCCAAAAAAUAAAUUUCCCCAAAAAAAUUUGGUUUUUUGUCGUUGGUUUUUUUGGUUACAUUGCAAAAAAUUCUGACCAAUAAAAUAUGGUUAAAGAAUUCAUGAGCAAAACAGAAAAUUAUUUUGUAUAAAUACAGGGAAUUAUGUUUUACUGAGAUAUAUUUCUUAUAGACGACAAAUGAUUGGCUUGGGCUAGCUGGUGUCAUGUUGCAGUCUGCAGUAAAAUGGAGUGACAUCAUGCUUAUUAUACAAAUACAAAUGGAGUUUAUCAUUAUUUAGUGGAUUUAUCAGAAUGAUUAAGGGAAUAACACUGCUGCAGUAGUUCCACCGAGAUGAACACUUAUCUGUGUUUAAUGUUUUCUUGGUGAGCAUGCCAUAUGCAUUGCCUAUAUGUCUAUGCAUUAAUUUGCAUUUUGUUAAUAUGAAUAAUACAAAGUUUAUGCUCUUUGCGUAUUCCGUUCUACCAGUAGAUGUUCGGAAAAGGAUUUUUCUGUUUAUUACAUAUUCUUGACAUGAUUCUUGCUGAAAAUACUUGUUUGCACAUGCAAGCAUGUAAAGGAACAGUUUUUUCUUCACAUUUUUGUUUAAAUCAUCCAAAAGUUCUAGGAUGUUUUACAAAUUCAUGAUAAUGUUUCAUUAUGUGUUUUAAAAUUUGAUUUUGUGUGUUUCUCCUUCCCUGUACACUAUCAUUGAAGAUGUGCACCAGUUAAGUCAAGCUAGGAAAUUACUCGGUUGUAUACAAUCACAGUUGGAAUAUAAUAUGUGGGUUAAGUGGAUCUCUGAAAGAAAUAUGGCGGAUAGGAUGAAUUCAUGUCAGCCUUGAGGAAUGCAACACCAGAGAAAUUUGAUAUGGAUGAAAAAUGGGGGAUAUGUACAACAAUAUUUUGAAAUUGAAAACUUUCAAAUUUACUUUUACUUUAUUUGUGCAUGUAGCUACAUAUACCACUAGAAAAUCAAUGCAAAUAACUCACCC